GACGAACGCUGGCGGCGUGCCUAAUACAUGCAAGUCGAACGAACUCUGGUAUUGAUUGGUGCUUGCAUCAUGAUUUACAUUUGAGUGAGUGGCGAACUGGUGAGUAACACGUGGGAAACCUGCCCAGAAGCGGGGGAUAACACCUGGAAACAGAUGCUAAUACCGCAUAACAACUUGGACCGCAUGGUCCGAGCUUGAAAGAUGGCUUCGGCUAUCACUUUUGGAUGGUCCCGCGGCGUAUUAGCUAGAUGGUGGGGUAACGGCUCACCAUGGCAAUGGUACGUAGCCGACCUGAGAGGGUAAUCGGCCACAUUGGGACUGAGACACGGCCCAAGCUCCUACGGGAGGCAGCAGUAGGGAAUCUUCCACAAUGGACGAAAGUCUGAUGGAGCAACGCCGCGUGAGUGAAGAAGGGUUUCGGCUCGUAAAACUCUGUUGUUAAAGAAGAACAUAUCUGAGAGUAACUGUUCAGGUAUUGACGGUAUUUAACCAGAAAGCCACGGCUAACUACGUGCCAGCAGCCGCGGUAA
rnacentral:rRNA from 1 species